rnacentral:rRNA from 1 species
GGGCCCGCACAAGCGGAGGAACAUGUGGUUUAAUUCGAUGAUACGCGAGGAACCUUACCCGGGCUUGAAUUGCAGAUGAAGGAUCCAGAGAUGGUGACGCCCUUCGGGGCAUCUGUGAAGGUGCUGCAUGGUUGUCGUCAGCUCGUGCCGUGAGGUGUCGGCUCAAGUGCCAUAACGAGCGCAACCCCUCUCUUCAGUUGCCAUCAGGUAGAGCUGGGCACUCUGGAGACACUGCCACCGCAAGGUGUGAGGAAGGUGGGGAUGACGUCAAAUCAGCACGGCCCUUACGUCCGGGGCUACACACGUGUUACAAUGGGGGGUACAGAAAGCCGGCUGCCCGCAAGGUCAGUCCAAUCAAGAAAGCCUCCCUCAGUUCGGACUGGGGUCUGCAACCCGACCCCACGAAGCUGGAUUCGCUAGUAAUCGCGCAUCAGCCAUGGCGCGGUGAAUACGUUCCCGGGCCUU